rnacentral:misc_RNA from 1 species
GGGCCAGUAGUCAUAUGCUUGUC